CGAAACCGAUAGCGAACAAGUACCGUGAGGGAAAGUUGAAAAGUACUCUGAAUAGAGAGUUAAAUAGUACGUGAAACCGCUUAGGGGUUAAGCCCGAUGAACCCGAAUAUCUGAUGUGAGAAAUUCAAUACGAUUUAAAUUCAUAUUUUUAUAUUGGAUUUGUAUAGUAUGCACUUUUCUCAUAGUAGGACAUUGUAAUCCAUUGAUAUUAUAUCUCAUAUGAGAUGAUUUAACAUACGGACAAAAUGUUUAUGAUUAUUCUAUCAGUGAUAUGUUUACAUGUUAUAUGAAUAAAAUCGUUUUGUUUCCUGUUUAAAUAGUCGAUGGAUUUUUCAUUGAAAUCAUGUUUGCAAUUUAUUUUGCGUUUCGUAUCAUUAAUUUUUAAUUGUUGAUAGCAGAAAUGGCAUGUAUUCGAUUAACAAUGCGAUAGAUUUGGGAUACUUUCAGGACCCGUCUUGA
rnacentral:rRNA from 1 species